UAGAGGAAGUAAAAGUCGUAACAAGGUCUCCGUUGGUGAACCAGCGGAGGGAUCAUUACUGAGUUUACGCUCUAUAACCCUUUGUGAACAUACCUAUAACUGUUGCUUCGGCGGGUAGGGUCUCCGCGACCCUCCCGGCCUCCCGCCUCCGGGCGGGUCGGCGCCCGCCGGAGGAUAAACCAAACUCUGAUUUAACGACGUUUCUUCUGAGUGGUACAAGCAAAUAAUCAAAACUUUUAACAACGGAUCUCUUGGUUCUGGCAUCGAUGAAGAACGCAGCGAAAUGCGAUAAGUAAUGUGAAUUGCAGAAUUCAGUGAAUCAUCGAAUCUUUGAACGCACAUUGCGCCCGCCAGCAUUCUGGCGGGCAUGCCUGUUCGAGCGUCAUUUCAACCCUCAAGCUCUGCUUGGUGUUGGGGCCCUACAGUUGAUGUAGGCCCUCAAAGGUAGUGGCGGACCCUCCCGGAGCCUCCUUUGCGUAGUAACUUUACGUCUCGCACUGGGAUCCGGAGGGACUCUUGCCGUAAAACCCCCCAAUUUUCCAAAGGUUGACCUCGGAUCAGGUAGGAAUACCCGCUGAACUUAAGCAUAUCAAUAAGCGGAGGAA
rnacentral:rRNA from 1 species